GAAAUACUGGCUCCUCCAUGGACAGGAACUAUUACCAGGAUUUCCACAAAAUAUUCAUGCUUUUGGAUUUCCAAGCAGUGUUAAAAAAGUAGAUGCAGCUGUUUACCUACAGAACAAAAGAAAGAUACUUUUCUUUUCAGAUAAGAGUUACUGGAGUUAUGACAGAACCAAAAAAGCAAUGGAUAAAGGUUUUCCCAAGAACAUAGUAGAUGAUUUCCCAAGCAUUGGAAACAAAAUAGAUGCUGCAGUCAACAAUAAUGGGGGUCUGUAUUUCUUCAGUGGAGAAAAGGAGUUCCAGUAUGAUGUCAGUCGAAAGCGUGUUCUUCACACUUCAAAAGCAAACCACUGGCUUGGAUGUUAAGGAUUAGUGUCACUUGCCUAUCAAGUUCAGCAAAAUCACUGUUAGGACUACAGACUGGCAUUUUGACAUAAUUCUCACAAAUUUGAGUAGUCAAAUAAUUUUAAAACAAUUAUUUGUUAUUUUAGUAUAGACUGUUUAUACUAUAGCAUGCCUCAGCUACUGCAGAUGUCUGAAUUACAGCUUAUUCAAAAAAGGCAUAAAAUGCAGUUAUUUUAUUUUUAAAAGUGUGCUAGUUUUGUGUAAUAACAUUAUCAUUAGUUUAUUUCUGAUUAGUACUUUGCAUUUAUAUGUAAAUUUGCAGCUUUCUACACUAAUGUAAACAAUUGUUCUUAAUAUUUAGUUUUAGUCUGUGGUAUUUAUACCAAUAGUUCACUCUGUUAACAAUUAAUGCCAAUAAAAUAACAGUCUGCAUUAUAAGACAAUGCAAGAAAUGAUGCAUAUGGAUUACAGGACUUUAACUUUAAAUGGAUAGUGAUGUUUAUGGAUUCUGCCUUCAGCACACAACUUGAUACUGGUGUAGCCUUGAUAAGGGACAUAGUAUAUGACAGGAGAACUGCUAAUUUAUUCAAUGUCCAUUUGAGUGAUAUGAACAGACUGACUGGAACUUUAACCAAAGCUGAUUAUAUCCAGUUUAAAGUAACUCAAAGUAAUAUAUAUGGAGCACAAUGACUACCAUGGAGUUGGAGGGAGGGAGCUUCCCUAUUGGUGUUUGUUCUCACUAACAAUCACUGUCACCAGUAUUUUUAUUAUGGUCAUAAUGGUAGCAGUGAUUACUCUGUUUUUAAGAUUUAUCACUUAUCUGAGAUUGUGCAGCUGUGAAUUUAGUUUAGAUAAGUAAUUUGGCAAGGGUAAAGCAUCCAAAAAUUAUUUUAGGUACUUUUAGGGGGUUACAGUCUCAGCCAGUUACUUUUGCCUAGAUGGAGUAUCAACUACUAAUUAUCUGGGGACAUGCAGAAGAGGUAGUGGGAAAAGACUCAGCCCCUUUUCUAAAAUAGCAUAUUUUGAGUUGCCUUAAUCUCAGAUUAAUGAUAGGCUGAUUUUUUUGUUAUUAAAGUUUCUUUCUGCAUGCUAGUCUUAACAGAGCAGGCCUUGAUAUAUUGUUGGCUUGCUAAUAAAUGGAAUUUCUUGAAAUGCAACACUGCAUUAACAUAUUAUGAAAGAUACAGAAAAAUAAAACCACUAUGAGACAGCAAACAUGGUUGAGGGAAUCCAAAUAAAUACAUAUAUUUUCUGGAUUUCUUAUUUAUGGAAUUGAGACAAUUUAAUUCUUGCAGUACAUGGAUUUGUUCUUGCUGAUAUUAUUAAAGAUGAUUUUAU